rnacentral:rRNA from 1 species
AACGAACGCUGGCGGCGUGGCUAAGGCAUGCAAGUCGAACGGAUCUAUCCAACGGGUAACUGAAGGGUAGAUUAGUGGCGAACGGGUGAGGAAUACAUGGACAACGUACCCUGGACACGGGGAUAGCGGCGGGCCGCAAGGCUCUUUAGCGAAAGUGCCGGUAAUACCCGAUGACUCCCGCAUGGUCGCAUGAUCGUGGCGGGACAAAGCUCCGGACGGUCUGGGAUCGUUCAUCGCCCUAUCAGCUAGUUGGUGAGGUAACGGCUCACCAAGGCGGC